AAGGAUUUAAGUUAAAAAAACUAUUAACCUUCAAAGUUAAAAAUAGAUUUAAAUCUAAGCCUUA
rnacentral:tRNA from 1 species